CCUACGGGGGGCAGCAGUGGGGAAUAUUGGACAAUGGGGGCAACCCUGAUCCAGCCAUGCCGCGUGUGUGAAGAAGGCCCUCGGGUUGUAAAGCACUUUCAGUGAGGAAGAACGCCUGGUGGUGAAUACCCAUCAGGAAAGACAUCACUCACAGAAGAAGCACCGGCUAACUCCGUGCCAGCAGCCGCGGUAAUACGGAGGGUGCGAGCGUUAAUCGGAAUUACUGGGCGUAAAGCGCGCGUAGGUGGCUUGAUAAGCCGGUUGUGAAAGCCCCGGGCUCAACCUGGGAACGGCAUCCGGAACUGUCAAGCUAGAGUGCAGGAGAGGAAGGUAGAAUUCCCGGUGUAGCGGUGAAAUGCGUAGAGAUCGGGAGGAAUACCAGUGGCGAAGGCGGCCUUCUGGACUGACACUGACACUGAGGUGCGAAAGCGUGGGUAGCAAACAGGAUUAGAUACCCGAGUAGUC
rnacentral:rRNA from 1 species